CUUUAAGCGUGGCAGUCUUCGGGGUUUAUGUCCCUCUGGUGGGUGUUUUCCACUUGACAACUCUUUUAAAGACGUAAAACCAUAUUUUAUUUACUGCCUACUAUAAAUUAUUUACUAGCAGGCUGAGGUAAUUCCAUUAAAGCCACACGGUUUGUUUAUACUAAAUAGUUAUCUGGGGACUCCUUGCUCUCCUUAGAGCUGCGAGGCUCCGGGAAGGUGGGGACCGUUCGCGCGCGCGAGAUACCCACAGUAAGAACAGGGAUCCAUUGGAUCCAACGUGAAGGAACAGCUCCUCUCACGAACACUGUUGGUCUCCUGGAUGGAGAAGGAAUGUGGUGAACCCUGAGCUGACUCUCAGGGCCUUUGUUCAGAACAUUUUACUUCUGCUCAUAUGUCAUAGGACAAAGCAAAUUACAUGGCUGAGCUGGAUGCAAAUGGGGAGGGGAAGAGGACUCUUCCCACAGGGAGGGGCAUAAGUCACACAGCCAAGGCUGAUGUCAACAGGGCAGGGAUGUAUAAUCCUCCCACAGGGAGGAGUAGCUAAUAUUUUUAACAAUAUUAUAAUCCACCACAGUGACCUCGAGCAUGUCACUUGACCUCUUUGUGCCUUGGUUUUCUCAUUGUUAAAAUGGAAAUAAUAAUAGAACUUACCUCAUAGGGUUGAUAUGAGGAUUCAAACGACUUAAUUCUAGUAGAGCAUUUAAAAUCCUGCCUAGUACAUAAUAAAUGCUAGAUAAGUGGUUGUUAAAUAAAAAUAAAUAAAAUGUUUGUCCAUACAAUUGUUUCCUCUUGCUAUGGUGAAAAUCGUGUAUCCCAUGCUUUAUUAUUACAUGCCUAGAAAUGAAGAUACUUUGCCUACAGGCAUUUAAAAACAAGACAUUUCUAUUUUUAAAAGCCUGUGGCUUUAAAAUUAAGGUUUCCAAAGUUGUGUCAUUGCUUAAACUUCUUGAAAGAUGUCCCUAUCAUGGCUUGCAGUCUGAUUAGUUCUUUCUGGAAAAGAGAAGAGAUUCUGUUUGGUAGGAAUAGG
rnacentral:lncRNA from 10 species